AUCCAGCUGACAAGUCCCGAAUAGGACGAAACGCGCAUCCUGGAU
rnacentral:hammerhead_ribozyme from 1 species